rnacentral:ncRNA from 2 species
CCCAGCGUCGCGGGAGAACCGGCCCGCGCCGGUGCCGAAGGAGCAAUCGCCCCGAUAAACUCUCAGGCCCCAGGACCGCGACGUGGCA